rnacentral:rRNA from 1 species
UGCCAGCCGCCGCGGUAAUACGGAGGGUGCGAACGUUGCUCGGAAUUAUUGGGCGUAAAGCGCGCGUAGGCGGCUUCACAAGUUGGAUGUGAAAGCCCCGGGCUCAACCCGGGAAGUGCAUCCAAAACUGUGUGGCUUGAAUCUCGGAGGGGGGUACAGAAUUCCUGGUGUAGAGGUGAAAUUCGUAGAUAUCAGGAGGAAUACCAGUGGCGAAGGCGGUACCCUGGACGAUGAUUGACGCUGAGGUGCGAAAGCGUGGGGAGCGAACAGGAUUAGAUA